GAUGAACGCUAGCGGCAGGCCUAACACAUGCAAGUCGAGGGGCAUCAUGGCGUAGCAAUACGCUGAUGGCGACCGGCGCACGGGUGCGUAACGCGUAUGGAACCUACCCACCGCGAGGGGAUAACCCGCCGAAAGGCGGACUAAUACCCCAUGGUUCCCCGACCCUGCCUGGGGUUGGGGGUAAAGCCUACGGGCGGCGGUGGAUGGCCCUGCGUGCCAUUAGCUGGCUGGUGGGGUAACGGCCCACCAGGGCGACGAUGGCUAGGGGGUCUGAGAGGACGAUCCCCCACACUGGUACUGAGACACGGACCAGACUCCUACGGGAGGCAGCAGUGAGGAAUAUUGGACAAUGGAUGGAAAUCUGAUCCAGCCAUGCCGCGUGCAGGAAGACGGCCCUAUGGGUUGUAAACUGCUUUUAUAUGGGAGCAAUAAGGUUUACGAGUAGACCGAUGAGAGUACCAUAUGAAUAAGCAUCGGCUAACUCCGUG
rnacentral:rRNA from 1 species